GCAUAUGGCCAUACCAACUUGGUUAUGCCUAAUAUCGUCUGAUCUUGGAAGAUACACAGGUUUGGGCCCGGUUAGUACUUGGAUGGGAGACCGCCUGGGAAUACCAGGUUCUGUAAGCU
rnacentral:rRNA from 1 species